ensembl:snoRNA
CGACAGCAGUGAUGAUGAUGACAGGAUGUCGUUUUGCUGAAUGCAUGUGAUGGUUUUAAGUCACUACCUCAUCUGAGCUGUCA